rnacentral:rRNA from 1 species
CUUUUAUGGGGUGACUGCGUACCUUUUGUAUAAUGGGUCAGCGACUUAUAUUCUGUAGCAAGGUUAACCGAAUAGGGGAGCCGAAGGGAAACCGAGUCUUAACUGGGCGUUAAGUUGCAGGGUAUAGACCCGAAACCCGGUGAUCUAGCCAUGGGCAGGUUGAAGGUUGGGUAACACUAACUGGAGGACCGAACCGACUAAUGUUGAAAAAUUAGCGGAUGACUUGUGGCUGGGGGUGAAAGGCCAAUCAAACCGGGAGAUAGCUGGUUCUCCCCGAAAGCUAUUUAGGUAGCGCCUCGUGAAUUCAUCUCCGGGGGUAGAGCACUGUUUCGGCAAGGGGGUCAUCCCGACUUACCAACCCGAUGCAAACUGCGAAUACCGGAGAAUGUUAUCACGGGAGACACACGGCGGGUGCUAACGUCCGUCGUGAAGAGGGAAACAACCCAGACCGCCAGCUAAGGUCCCAAAGUCAUGGUUAAGUGGGAAACGAUGUGGGAAGGCCCAGACAGCCAGGAUGUUGGCUUAGAAGCAGCCAUCAUUUAAAGAAAGCGUAAUAGCUCACUGGUCGAGUCGGCCUGCGCGGAAGAUGUAACGGGGCUAAACCAUG